rnacentral:rRNA from 1 species
UGGGGAAUAUUGCACAAUGGGCGCAAGCCUGAUGCAGCCAUGCCGCGUGUAUGAAGAAGGCCUUCGGGUUGUAAAGUACUUUCAGCGGGGAGGAAGGUGUUGAGGUUAGUAACCUCAGCAAUUGACGUUACCCGCAGAAGAAGCACCGGCUAACUCCGUGCCAGCAGCCGCGGUAAUACGGAGGGUGCAAGCGUUAAUCGGAAUUACUGGGCGUAAAGCGCACGCAGGCGGUCUGUCAAGUCGGAUGUGAAAUCCCCGGGCUCAACCUGGGAACUGCAUUCGAAACUGGCAGGCUAGAGUCUUGUAGAGGGGGGUAGAAUUCCAGGUGUAGCGGUGAAAUGCGUAGAGAUCUGGAGGAAUACCGGUGGCGAAGGCGGCCCCCUGGACAAAGACUGACGCUCAGGUGCGAAAGCGUGGGGAGCAAACA